CCCGACUCUUGUCACAGUGACAUGUUCCAUUAAGGACAGCCAGACAAUGGAAGAAAAGGACGUUUAUACCGAAUUUGUUAUUAACAAUGGAGUGAAUUCCUCAGUUGGAGGGAAGAAUGAAAAUCCAAUGGUGAGACUUAAUUGCUGCAUGCAAUAAAAACCUGCGAGGGGAGCCAAAAGGAGGCAAACAUCAUGCAGCUGCUACAACCUCCCUGCUGAUUUCCCUACUAUACUGAUAUACGCAAGAAUGGUGAGGAAUUCUGGGAAUUGAGACAGAGGGAAAACAAGGCAUGAAGCAAGUGACCCUUGCAGGUUUCCUCCUAUGCCCCACCCUUCAAGACCUAAGACCAGGUCCCACGGGGGCCUUCAAGUUGUGUGAGGUCGCUCCCUAUAAAGAGCCUCCUGUUUUGAGAUGUGGAUAAAUUACAACAGCGAGGUGGAACACUGGAAGGUUCUGCUCCAAGUCACAUCCUAUUUGUAGCAGGGAGAAAAAGAAGGAGUGAUUUAAGCAAAAAACUUUCUGCAGUGGGCCCCAGAGGUCCCCCACCCAGUCUCUGACUCACUGGCUUUAACUCAGAAUCAGUCGGUUGGAGCUGGACCAAGACCUUCACUGGAGAGAUGCUGUCAUCUCAGCUUUAUUUAGGCUCAGCUAUCAGCUACUGGGAGAGAAGAGGCUAAUCCACGCCUUAAUUAAAAGAUGAUCUUAGAAUCCACAUACUGACCUCUAAGAUAUCUGGUAUGAAAUGGAACGUAAUCGUCAUGUACUUCAGCUACCGUGUCUGAUGUCCUGGAAAUCAACUCAAAGCUUUUUAUGCCUUGAGGAUUUCCUUAAAAGUCCAUUCUUCUGCUUUUUUUUUUUUCUUUUUUUGUCUAGUCUGUUGUUAUGAGGACAGUGAUCCACUAGGGGCUGUGCUUACCAUGUAAAGCCCAAAUAAGCUCAGCUAGCAUAAGUAGAAAGAACUACAUGUAAUGGUCCUUUCACUACCUGAAUUUACAGUGAAGAAAGAACAUGAACAAUACAUGAAAACUAAAUGUCUUAU